UUUUUUUAAUCUUUAAGCUGGUUUUAUAGAUAAAUUUUACCUCAAUUAAUUUAAAUCCGUUACUUAAAAUUGGGCAUAUUACUUAAUAAACAUCAUUCAUUUAAAUCCUACUCGUCGUCUAAGUUCAAUAAAAGUUUAAAUAUAUAUCUGACUUUUUGGGUCUGAUACCGAUUCUAUUGUUGAACGUUCAAAGUUCAUUGUUUCGAGAUUCAUGUUUAAGAAAUGUGUUUAAUACGGGUUACGGACCGAGAUUUAUUAUCGAUUUUUGCCAAAAUUAAUUAAUUGCAUAAGGAUAAAGAAUUACUCAAAUAAGCUAUACCUACUUUUAAUUUUUUGAUUAUGCAAUUAUAUCGUCGAAUAAAAAGGUUUUUUUGUUGGAGGUCCAUUCCGAUCCUCAGAAAUGGCGGGAAAACGAAAGCGUGUAGUCCCUUCCCUGUGCUAUUUCGCACUAGAUGCUUGACGGACGAAAUAUAGCUAUAUAUGAAAAUAUAAAUGUAGAUGUCUAUGGGCUCCAGUAACCACUUAACACCAGGUGGGCUGUAAGCUCGUCCACUCAUCUAAGCAACAAAAAAAAAAAAAAUAGCUGCGACUAGAAGGCAACUAAUACAUAAACUGGGUAGAAAAGAGGACCUUCCCAUAAACCGAGGAAAUACUGUAAAGGUUGUUACCAAAAAAAAACAAAAUAAAAUAAUAUCUAAAAACAAUGUGAAAAAGUGGUAACUUAUUGCCUUACAUGUGAAGGGCAACCUCAUUUUUGUCUGGACGUUUCAACGAACAUGACUAAAUGUUUAUGACUCUCAGCUAAAUUUUGAUCUUUUUUUUUUACGAUAAAGUAAUUGUUUUUACUAAUAUGGUAUAUGAUUAUAUGGAUCUCAUUUAAGUUGUGAUACUUUUUUAUGUUAUAUAACGAAUUAUUUCUAAUAAAGUUUGAUUUAAAACUAA